UAUUAUUCUUAGAUAAACUUAACCCCUAAAUUAGUAGUAGAUAUUUGCUUAAAAAUUAAAAGAUUUGGCGGUAAUUUAAUCUUUCCAGAGGAACUUGUUUUUUAAUCGAUACACCUCGAAAUAUCUUUCUUAUUUGAAGUAAAGUUUGUAUACCGUCAUUAUCAGGUAAUUUUUAGAAAAGUAAAUUGCUAAGAGUAAAAUAUUAAUAAAAUUAGAUCAUGGUGCAGCUUAUGAAUAAGUUAAAAUGAGUUACAAUAAAUUUUUUUAAUACGGAUAAAUAAAAAAAUUUUUAUUUAGAAGGGGGAUUUGGUUGUAUUUGAGGUUUAAUAUGCCUUAAAGAUGAGAGCUCUAAAUUAUGUACAUAU
rnacentral:rRNA from 1 species